CAGAGACUGCAAGCGUUAUUCGGAUUCACUGGGCGUAAAGGGUGCGCAGGCGGCCAAGUGUGUGAGGCGUGAAAGCCCGGGGCUUAACCCCGGAAUUGCACCUCAAACUACAUGGCUAGAGCAUUGGAGAGGGUAGCAGAAUUCAUGGUGUAGCAGUGAAAUGCGUAGAUAUCAUGAGGAAUACCAGAGGCGAAGGCGGCUACCUGGACAAUUGCUGACGCUCAGGCACGAAAGCGUGGGGAGCAAAAGGGAUUAGAUACCCCUGCAGUCCACGCCCUAAACGGUGCACACUAGGUCUUGGCGGAUUCGACCCCCCCAGGGCCCCAGCUAACGCGUUAAGUGUGCCGCCUGAGGACUACGGCCGCAAGGCUA
rnacentral:rRNA from 1 species